rnacentral:rRNA from 1 species
UNAGUUUGAUCAUGGCUCAGAUUGCACGCUGGUNGCAUGCCUUACACAUGCAAGUCGAACGGUAACAGGUCUUCGGACGCUGACGAGUGGCGAACGGGUGAGUAAUACAUCGGAACGUGCCCAGUCGUGGGGGAUAACUACUCGAAAGAGUAGCUAAUACCGCAUACGAUCUGAGGAUGAAAGCGGGGGACCUUCGGGCCUCGCGCGAUUGGAGCGGCCGAUGGCAGAUUAGGUAGUUGGUGGGAUAAAAGCUUACCAAGCCGACGAUCUGUAGCUGGUCUGAGAGGACGACCAGCCACACUGGGACUGAGACACGGCCCAGACUCCUACGGGAGGCAGCAGUGGGGAAUUUUGGACAAUGGGCGAAAGCCUGAUCCAGCAAUGCCGCGUGCAGGAUGAAGGCCUUCGGGUUGUAAACUGCUUUUGUACGGAACGAAAAAGCUCCUUCUAAUACAGGGGGGCCCAUGACGGUACCGUAAGAAUAAGCACCGGCUAACUACGUGCCAGCAGCCGCGGUAAUACGUAAGGGUGCGAGCGUUAAUCGGAAUUNACUGGGGCGUAAAAGCCGGUGCGCAGGGCGGNUUAUGGUACAGACAGAUGUUGAAAUUCCCCCGGGCUUCAACCUGGGGAACUGCUUUUGGUGACUUGCUUGGGCUAGAGUUACGGUUACGAGGGGGAUGGGAAUUCCGCGUUU